rnacentral:rRNA from 1 species
AUUCUGAUUGAUCCUGCCAGAGGCCACUGCUAUCGGGGUUUGACUAAGCCAUGCGAGUCGAGAGGUGCAAGACCUCGGCGUACUGCUCAGUAACACGUGGACAAUCUGCCCUGAAGAGGAGGAUAAUCCCGGGAAACUGGGGGUAAUACUCCAUAGUUCGUGCUGACUGGAAUGUUAUGCGAACGAAAGAUCCGUCGCUUCAGGAUGAGUCUGCGGCCGAUUAGGUAGUUGUUGGGGUAACGGCCCAACAAGCCUGUCAUCGGUACGGGUUGUGGGAGCAAGAGCCCGGAGAUGGAUUCUGAGACACGAAUCCAGGCCCUACGGGGCGCAGCAGGCGCGAAAACUUUACCAUGCGGGCAACCGUGAUAAGGAAACCCCGAGUGCCAGCACAGGCUGGCUGUCCACCAGUGUAAAUAACUGGUGAAGAAAGGGCCGGGCAAGACCGGUGCCAGCCGCCGCGGUAAUACCGGCGGCUCGAGUGGUGGCCGCUAUUACUGGGCUUAAAGGGUCCGUAGCUGGAUAUACAAGUCCCUUGAGAAAUCCGCCGGCUUAACCGGUGGGCGUUCAGGGGAAACUGUAUUUCUAGGGACCGGGAGAGGUGAGAGGUACUGCCGGGGUAGGAGUGAAAUCCUGUAAUCCCGGUGGGACCACCUAUGGCGAAGGCAUCUCACCAGAACGGGUCCGACAGUGAGGGACGAAAGCUGGGGGAGCAAACCGGAUUAGAUACCCGGGUAGUCCCAGCUGUAAACGAUGCGCGUUAGGUGUGUCAGUGACCACGUGUCACUGAGGUGCCGAAGGGAAACCGUGAAACGCGCCGCCUGGGGAGUACGGUCGCAAGGCUGAAACUUAAAGGAAUUGGCGGGGGAGCACCACAACGGGUGGAGCCUGCGGUUUAUUAGCCUGAGUUGCGGCCCUUAGAGUGGCCUAUUCUGUCGACUUACUAUCAGCCCUACUUCUGAGAUGAACUGAUCGACUCUCCUCCACGUACCGGCAGCAGUCAAGCAUGACACUUCGUAGGACAAAUCAGUCCGUUGCUCGCUCUGGGUGCGCUCGUCAACGGUCGAACUGGAAGCCCAACUACCCCUGUGACGAGCCUGGCGGAGACGAUUUCCCCUCCUUCCUUACCCGUUGCCAUCCAGUCGUACGGGGCUUAAUAGGCCCGAUGUGCGCCCGAUGUUACCUAUCCUGUUACCCAAAGAUGUGGCUCUCCACUACUGUUAGAGGAUUUGGAUAGGCUUCAAGCCUAACGCCCAACAUUGAGUGGGCGUACUUCGACCUUAGGCAUCAUUAGCGCAAAGUUGUAUCGCGCCACUUAUACAGGGACGAGGAACGUGUGUGGCGGGCAGUUUGGUGGGCUCACUCCAGAACUACUCCUACAUAGAGACUAUACAAGCUUAGACCCAAAACGUUCCCCCCAAUUCAGCAUUGUUCCAUUGG